rnacentral:rRNA from 1 species
AUGCACGCUGGCGGCGUGCCUAAUCCAUGCCAGUCGAGCGAACAGACGAGGAGCUUGCUCCUCUGACGUUAGCGGCGGACGGGUGAGUAACACGUGGAUAACCUACCUAUAAGACUGGGAUAACUUCGGGAAACCGGAGCUAAUACCGGAUAAUAUAUUGAACCGCCUGGUUCAAUAGUGAAAGACGGUUUUGCUGUCACUUAUAGAUGGAUCCGCGCCGCAUUAGCUAGUUGGUAAGGUAACGGCUUACCAAGGCAACGAUGCGUAGCCGACCUGAGAGGGUGAUCGGCCACACUGGAACUGAGACACGGUCCAGACUCCUACGGGAGGCAGCAGUAGGGAAUCUUCCGCAAUGGGCGAAAGCCUGACGGAGCAACGCCGCGUGAGUGAUGAAGGUCUUCGGAUCGUAAAACUCUGUUAUUAGGGAAGAACAAAUGUGUAAGUAACUAUGCACGUCUUGACGGUACCUAAUCAGAAAGCCACGGCUAACUACGUG